AACGCAUAUUGCACUCUCUGGUAAUCCGGGGAGUAUGCCUGUUUGAGGGUCAGUAAAUAAUAAUUAUCAUAAUCUUUUGAUUGUGGAAUUGGGCUUUUAUUUCAUUUUUAAUGAUUUAUGGCCUUAAAUUUAUGUUACCGCUUGUUUAAUAUGAAAUUCGACCGAAUGGAGCAAUUAAACAUUCUCUCGUUAGGCGGAUUCAUCAAGCAAUUACGAUUUUUGGUCGUCGAGGCACUUUUUUUAGAAGUGCUUGGUCGAGAUUGUAAGAUACAUUUAACAAUGACCUCAAAUCAGGCAAGAAUACCCGCUGAACUUAA
rnacentral:misc_RNA from 1 species